UGAACCCCACCACCAUUGAAAAUGAUGUGAAAUACGGUUUACAAUGGCGCAAAACCCUAAACAUCCACUGAAGAACAUGACACUUCCGCUCCUUCAAGAAAACGGGCAAUCUUUCCGCCAUCCACCGCCGCGUCCGCCGCCACCUGCCACCGCUACCCCUUCGAAAACCCCUCUAAAUUGCGUUUCAAUUCAGUCCACAAAUUCAACCUCAUCAUCAUCCUCUGCGUUCGAUCAGUUUUCUAAAAGGGUCACGAGGGACCUUCCCAAUUUGUCAGACUGUCAUGGCUGCGGUGUCCGAAUCAAUCACACCGAUCCCGAUGACCGCCUUCUAACCCUAGACAGCUUUUGGCGCAUAGUCCUUCUUUGCAAGAAAUGUAUCAGGUGUGUCGAUUCCGGCCAAACUUGCCCUUACUGUUUCAAGAACACGGAUGAUACUGAUUGUUCCAAAUGCCGCAUCUGCAAAAGGCAAGUUCACAAGCACUGUGUUAGUAGGUAUGGAAAUUCUGCGCCUUGGUCUUUUUGUUCUAGGGAAGAAGGGGGACUCUUUGUUUGUAUAGAUUGUUGGGUUCCAAAUUUCUUUAAGAAAUCAAUUGGGGAUUGUAGAAAGAUUCAGAAGGAUGUGCUUAAGAUACAACAUUGUAGUAGUGAUUUUAAAUCAUCUGAAAAAAUUGCAAAACAUGCUAAUUUAGAAGGCUUAAGGAAGGAGGUUGUAGUGGGCUUGAAAGCAAAGAAUAGCACCUUGCAGAAGGCUGUCGUGGCGAAAAAUCCCAUGGGCUUGGCUAAGAGUGCAUUGGAACCAGUUGUUAAGAAAGGUAAAAGUAAGGGUAAGGUUGUAAGUAAGGAUGUAAAUGAUGCACAAUUAGCGUUUCAAUUGCAUCGUUCCAUGAACAGUUCGCCACGAAUAUCAAAAACCUUAGGACCUAAGAAUUCUAGCUAUGUGGGUGGUCCUGAAAUCCAGACUCUUCCUAGUUCUACAGGCGAGAGGCUGAAAGUGUACUCUCGCACCAAGUAUAGGGGAAAAGUUGGCCCGACUAGUCCUGAGACCCCACCUUCUGUUAUGGUUUACUCUCGCACUAGGUUGAAAGAAAAAGUUGACCAGACUACUUCAGAGACCUCACCUCGUGUUACAGUUUACUCUCGCAGAAGGUUGAAGGAAGAAGUUGGCAAGGCUAGUUCAGAUGCAUCGCCAUGUCUUCUGGUGUACUCUCGCACAAGAUUUAAAGAAAAAGUUUGUCAGACUGAUUCAGAGGCUCCACCUUGUGUUACAACGAACGAGUGUGGCUCUUGUGUUGAUUCUGCUUGUUCAAAAGCUGAAUUGCUUACAUAUAAGCGGAACAAACUAAAGAGGAAAACAUGCGAUGAAAAGGUUGUUUUUACUGAGGACCGCUAUUUGUUGAAGUAUAGCAGAAGGAAAAGAUGCUGGAAGCCAGGGUCGGAUGUGCAUGAGGAUAUUUUUCCUCAACCAACACCUGAUCGCAGCAUGCCUUCAAAUUGCUGUCAUUCGAUCUAGUGCUUGUGCAAGCAGUAGUUUGAAUUAUACAGGUUCAAGUAAGAGCUAGAAGAUGUCAGCCAUGAAAGCACCAACACCUAAUGUCUAACGUCAUUGUUCCUUUUCCCAUGCUGACUUGUCAUACAAAAGACAUGGAAGAGUGCUUAGAAGGAUUGGGGUCCUGCUUUCUUCUGGAAAACCAAAUUCGAUCAUUCAAUGUAUUGCCACUUUACCAGUAAGAGGAUGGAAAAUCACGAGAACUGAUGAACAAGGCUAUUGGAACAUGUUGGGUCAGAUGUUGUAAUCUUUACAUUCGCAAUGUACUAAGCCAUUAUCCUUCAAAAGGUGAUGAGUGUAUAUGAUGUAUCUUAUCAUGAGAAAGAGGUUUGGAGCCAAAGAAGUAUCUUUUGGUGCAAGUGGAGUGUAAUUUCGACAAGAGUUGUUUUUGUUGCAUAUAUUUUAUGUCCUCUUUCCUGUUAUUGUGUUAACUUUUACAAAAUAGAUGAUGCAGUUGUACUAAUUUGUAGACCAUAUUGUAGUAUGAAAAAGUUGAAUUACUAA